CGGAUGAACGCUAGCGGCAGGCCUAACACAUGCAAGUCGAGGGGUAUAGGGAGCUUGCUUCCUAGAGACCGGCGCACGGGUGCGUAACGCGUAUGCAAUCUACCUUGUACAGGGGAAUAGCCCAGAGAAAUUUGGAUUAAUGCCCCAUAGUAUUAUUAAAUGGCAUCCUUUAAUAAUUAAAGUUCCAACGGUACAAGAUGAGCAUGCGUCCUAUUAGUUAGUUGGUGUGGUAACGGCAUACCAAGACGAUGAUAGGUAGGGGUCCUGAGAGGGAGAUCCCCCACACUGGUACUGAGACACGGACCAGACUCCUACGGGAGGCAGCAGUGAGGAAUAUUGGACAAUGGGCGCAAGCCUGAUCCAGCCAUGCCGCGUGCAGGAUGACGGUCCUAUGGAUUGUAAACUGCUUUUGCACAGGAAGAAACAUCCCGACGUGUCGGGACUUGACGGUACUGUGAGAAUAAGGAUCGGCUAACUCCGUG
rnacentral:rRNA from 1 species